UGUCGUGAGUAGCAAAAAUGCUACUUUUUAUUUCGAUCAUUUCGGCACAAGACCCAGGAUGGUAAACGAUCUACUUCUAAGUGUUUAAAGACCAAGAUUUUUUAUUCAACAAAAGCGUGGGAAAUUUCUGAACAGACCACUUUUAAAUCCUAAGAGUUAAUUUCAUGCUUUUGCGUUUUCGUGCGUUUGCCUCGCGUAUUUGCAAUAUUCGUCUUCGGCUCGCACAAGCAUACCUGGCUUCGACUCGUAUGCCUGCUCCCCUACGACUCAUGUUAUAAACUUACUUACUUUACAUAAGUAAACUACUUUGCCUCCUCGAUACGCAAUCUAUUAUUGUGUCCACGCUUUGGUCGAAUUACGUAUAAUUAUCAUUUUUUAGAUUCUCUAAGACACCUUGAAAGUUUGAUAAACUUUUCGAUUCUAAAUCCAAGAAAUAGUAACUUUACUCUUAAAGGGAGUUUGAAAGAAUUAUUGCUGGUCGGAAAACAUUUAAGAUUUAAUUUUUAUAAUUAGUAUAUACAGAAACAACAUGUUUUCGUGCCUUGAACGAUUAAAAAUUUUUGUAGGUGUCUAGACACGUAGAACGAGUUUAUUAGCCAUCAUCGGUCUUGUGGCAGAAUGUUUGGAAUAAAGCCCAGGAUUUUGGAGCAUUUUUUCAGAAAAACAAAAAUUAAUAACAAUUUAGACGGCUUUAAGGUUCUACCAUAGCCUCAAUUUUUUUCAGGAAAAACAAAAAUGCAAGGGUUAGGAUCUUGUUGAGCUCACAUGGCACGCCCCCAUAUGUAUGGCAUAAAUAUGUAUCAACUUAAGUAAGUUAAACUAAUAAAAACAAAUAGAAAUCGAUUUAAAUUUGUUCAGUUAGAGGGAAAAAAGUGAAGAAAAAAUCAAUUGUUCAAUGACUGGUACUUACGUGUUGAUGCAAUAUCGUAUACCUACUGGAACCGUUGAUACCUAAAACCAUGAAUGUUUUCAUCAUUUUAAUAGAUAGGUAAGUAGAUAGUUCAAUAGUUCUAUGUAGAUGGUCUAAGCAUUUAUACGGCGUUUAAUUAGUGAUUAUGCAAAUAACUGUAGGAUACGGAAAGACGAAAAAAGAAAAGAAUAACAGAAAAAUCGCAACCACAAGAUACUAAUAGUUGUACUGAACAGUCAUCACUGUAACAGCAGUAAUGAUAAUAUCUACUUUCAUUAUUGAUAAUAAUAACAAUAAUGAUAAUAAUAUUAAUAAUAAUUAUAUUACAUAUUAUUUUAAUGUUGAACGUGAAGAUUUAUCGUACUGACUGUAUUAUUCCAAAAUGCUGCGUUAUUGUUAUCCAUGCGACGCGACGCCGUUGUGUUGUGCAGUGUACAGAAUCCUAACCAUCAUGUGGUCUUGAUGGAUACAAAUAAUAAUAGUAAUAAAUGAGAAGGAAACAUAUGUUACACAUGAUAUAUGAAAAACACGGACUUAUACGUGUAUGCAUAAUGCAUGUAUUUAGAAUUCUAGAGACAUAAAAUAAAUCAAUAAAACAAACUACAUUGCCGUUUCCACCAAAGACGCAAUGUACAAAAGACAUUACAUGAGUACGUAAACAUGAAAAUGCAAGAGAUUGUUUUUGUCUUGUGGUUUCUACGUAUACACACACAUAUGUAUCUGCACACCUAUAUGUGAAAAUAUAUAUGUACAUAUUAUCAUUAUUAUUAUUAUUAUUAUUAUUAUAUUAUAUUAUAUUCACACUCAGGAACAGAGUCUUAUGUAAUUGAUACGAAUUAGAAUAUAAUGUAGUUAGAAUUUCAUGUUUCUAUAGGUAGUAUUACCACUUUGAUUAUGUCAAUAAAUGAAAAGAAUAAUGUUGAAA